GAGGGUAUAGCCCAGCGGUACAGUGUAUGCCUAGCGUGCAUGAGAUCCUGGGUUCAAUCCCCAGUGCCUCCA
rnacentral:tRNA from 1 species